rnacentral:tRNA from 1 species
GCGGACGUGGUGGAAUUGGUAUACACGACAGACUUAAAAUUUGUUGGGCGCAAGCCCAUGCGGGUUCAACUCCCGCCGUCCGCA